AGCUCUGAGGUGUUUCACAUUAGAUUGCAAAUCUAAAGAAGUGGGCUUGCCCCCGCCGGAGCUU
rnacentral:tRNA from 1 species